rnacentral:snRNA from 1 species
CGGACAAGGGGAAUCCGAC